AAGAGGAAGAUUGAGAAAUCUGACAUAUGUAUGAUCUGCGGGGUCGAACGCGAGGAUACUUUCCACGCGUUUUGCAGAUGCCCGAUGGCUCAGGGACUUUGGCUAGCGAUGAGUGAGCACUGGAGGAUGCCCAAGCUUGAAGAGGUCAAGAACACGGGGCCCGAGUGGCUACUGCAGCUACCCAACCAGUGCAACGAGGAUGAACGUCUCCCUAUACUGAUGACUCUCUGGAGGAUAUGGCAUGUCCAUAAUGAGCUGACUCACCACAAGCCGGUGACCCCCAUCGCAGUGUCCCGUCGUUUCCUGAACAGUUAUAUUGUCUCGCUGUUGUGCCUCAAGCAAAACCCUGAAGCAAACCUAGAGAAGGGGAAGAUGUUGGUCACACAGGACAGCCGAAGCCACGCAUGCAGACCUACACCGGCGAGUGGAGCAAAACCGAGCAUGCGCUGGACACGGCCUCCAUUAGGCUGGAACAAGCUGAGCACGGACGGUGCGUUCAAGGAGGAGGACGGCACAGGAGGUGCAGGGAUGAUUCUGCGGAACCACGAAGGAAAAACCAUCUUUGCAUUGUGUCGUUUCCUCCAUACGUGCUCCAGCGCUCUCGAAUCGGAAAUGGCGGCAUGUGCGGAGGGCAUAGCACUUGCGCUGGAAUGGAGCACUGAUCCAUUCAUCUUAGAAUCAGAUUGUUCGGUGACUAUUGACAUGCUCAGCGAGGACAAGCUCAAUAGAUCGCCGGUGGCCACGGUGGUGCAGGAGGCAAAGCAUCUCCUGAAGUGUGGGCGUGAGUACUCAUUGACACAUGUGGGUAGGGGACAGAACAAGGUAGCUCACGCACUUGCCCAAAUGGGUAGAGUAUCUACUCGUACUGCCGUCUGGAUCCGCCAUGAACCAGAUGAGAUUAGCAAUCUCUGUCAAGAGGAUUGUAAUGAACCACCAUGA
rnacentral:rRNA from 1 species